GUUUUGGAAUAAAGACACCUUGAGGACCAGGUUUUUUUGGCAUGUGUGAACAGCAGUGUUCCCAUUAAAUUGGCAGAACGUGAGGAGUGGCAGCAAUUCCAGGCUGACCUGAAGGUGGCGCUAGUGGUUUCAGACAGACUGAGGGCAGAAGCUGAGGAAGAGCUAGGUACUUUAAGAGCAGCAAGGCAGGACCUGGGCACACAGCUAGCCAAUGCCUUGCAGGGUCGCCGGGAGGUCGAAAGUCAGUUGGAGAGCCUCAGAGUUGAGCUGGAGCAGAGCAAGCAGAAACUGAAGCAGGUCACAGGCAGCCACCAGGGGGCGCCAGCAAUGAGGGGCCUAGAGAGACAAGUGGAGGGUUAUGGGAAGAGAACUGGACCCGAAGAUCAACUGUGGACAGAUGAAAUGAAGGGAAAAAGAGAAAUGCGCAUCUCUGGUACUACAGAGAGGUCAAGGAGCCUGUGCCGGCUGCCCUCAGAUUGCCCUGAUGUUGUUGUAAAUGGUACUUAUCAACCUUCCGUUACUAUGACAACAGUAUCUGUGAGUAGAAAAACAAAUAUUUGGAUAUUUAUGAUUAUGUAUCUAAAAUAUUUAACAGUAAAAAUUAGUAAACAGUGUCUAAUAACUUCAGACUUCUAAGAGCAAGACUCAAGCAGUAAGUUUAGACCAACAGAACAACAAGACCAU
ensembl:lncRNA